rnacentral:rRNA from 1 species
CAGUCGCCACGGUAAUACGUAGGGUGCAAGCGUUAAUCGGAAUUACUGGGCGUAAAGCGUGCGCAGGCGGUUAUAUAAGACAGAUGUGAAAUCCCCGGGCUCAACCUGGGAACUGCAUUUGUGACUGUAUAGCUAGAGUACGGCAGAGGGGGAUGGAAUUCCGCGUGUAGCAGUGAAAUGCGUAGAUAUGCGGAGGAACACUGAUGGCGAAGGCAAUCCCCUGGGCCUGUACUGACGCUCAUGCACGAAAGCGUGGGGAGCAAACAGGAUUAGAUACCCCCGUAGUCCCUGUCUCUUAUAC